rnacentral:rRNA from 1 species
UCCAGACUCCUACGGGAGGCAGCAGUGGGGGAUAUUGGACAAUGGGGGGAACCCUGAUCCAGCGACGCCGCGUGAGUGAAGAAGUAUCUCGGUAUGUAAAGCUCUAUCAGCAGGGAAGAAAGAAAUGACGGUACCUGAGUAAGAAGCCCCGGCUAACUACGUGCCAGCAGCCGCGGUAAUACGUAGGGGGCAAGCGUUAUCCGGAAUUACUGGGUGUAAAGGGAGCGUAGACGGUGAAGUAAGUCUGGAGUGAAAGGCGGGGGCCCAACCCCCGGACUGCUCUGGAAACUAUUUGACUGGAGUGCAGGAGAGGUAAGCGGAAUUCCUAGUGUAGCGGUGAAAUGCGUAGAUAUUAGGAGGAACACCAGUGGCGAAGGCGGCUUACCAGUCUGCGACUGACGCUCAGGCACGAAAGUGUGGGUAUCGAACAGGAUUAGAUACCCCAGUAAC